UUAAGCGACUAAGCGUACACGGUGGAUGCCCUGGCAGUCAGAGGCGAUGAAGGACGUGCUAAUCUGCGAUAAGCGUCGGUAAGGUGAUAUGGACCGUUAUAACCGGCGAUUUCCGAAUGGGGAAACCCAGUGUGAUUCGUCACACUAUCAUUAACUGAAUCCAUAGGUUAAUGAGGCGAACCGGGGGAACUGAAACAUCUAAGUACCCCGAGGAAAAGAAAUCAACCGAGAUUCCCCCAGUAGCGGCGAGCGAACGGGGAGGAGCCCAGAGCCUGAAUCAGUGUGUGUGUUAGUGGAAGCGUCUGGAAAGGCGCGCGAUACAGGGUGACAGCCCCGUACACAAAAAUGCACAUAUUGUGAGCUCGAUGAGUAGGGCGGGACACGUGGUAUCCUGUCUGAAUAUGGGGGGACCAUCCUCCAAGGCUAAAUACUCCUGACUGACCGAUAGUGAACCAGUACCGUGAGGGAAAGGCGAAAAGAACCCCGGCGAGGGGAGUGAAAAAGAACCUGAAACCGUGUACGUACAAGCAGUGGGAGCCUCUUAAUGGGGUGACUGCGUACCUUUUGUAUAAUGGGUCAGCGACUUAUAUUCUGUAGCAAGGUUAACCGAAUAGGGGAGCCGAAGGGAAACCGAGUCUUAACUGGGCGUUAAGUUGCAGGGUAUAGACCCGAAACCCGGUGAUCUAGCCAUGGGCAGGUUGAAGGUUGGGUAACACUAACUGGAGGACCGAACCGACUAAUGUUGAAAAAUUAGCGGAUGACUUGUGGCUGGGGGUGAAAGGCCAAUCAAACCGGGAGAUAGCUGGUUCUCCCCGAAAGCUAUUUAGGUAGCGCCUCGUGAAUUCAUCUCCGGGGGUAGAGCACUGUUUCGGCAAGGGGGUCAUCCCGACUUACCAACCCGAUGCAAACUGCGAAUACCGGAGAAUGUUAUCACGGGAGACACACGGCGGGUGCUAACGUCCGUCGUGAAGAGGGAAACAACCCAGACCGCCAGCUAAGGUCCCAAAGUCAUGGUUAAGUGGGAAACGAUGUGGGAAGGCCCAGACAGCCAGGAUGUUGGCUUAGAAGCAGCCAUCAUUUAAAGAAAGCGUAAUAGCUCACUGGUCGAGUCGGCCUGCGCGGAAGAUGUAACGGGGCUAAACCAUGCACCGAAGCUGCGGCAGCGACACUAUGUGUUGUUGGGUAGGGGAGCGUUCUGUAAGCCUGUGAAGGUGGCCUGUGAGGGUUGCUGGAGGUAUCAGAAGUGCGAAUGCUGACAUAAGUAACGAUAAAGCGGGUGAAAAGCCCGCUCGCCGGAAGACCAAGGGUUCCUGUCCAACGUUAAUCGGGGCAGGGUGAGUCGACCCCUAAGGCGAGGCCGAAAGGCGUAGUCGAUGGGAAACAGGUUAAUAUUCCUGUACUUGGUGUUACUGCGAAGGGGGGACGGAGAAGGCUAUGUUGGCCGGGCGACGGUUGUCCCGGUUUAAGCGUGUAGGCUGGUUUUCCAGGCAAAUCCGGAAAACCAAGGCUGAGGCGUGAUGACGAGGCACUACGGUGCUGAAGUAACAAAUGCCCUGCUUCCAGGAAAAGCCUCUAAGCAUCAGGUAACAUCAAAUCGUACCCCAAACCGACACAGGUGGUCAGGUAGAGAAUACCAAGGCGCUUGAGAGAACUCGGGUGAAGGAACUAGGCAAAAUGGUGCCGUAACUUCGGGAGAAGGCACGCUGAUAUGUAGGUGAAGCGACUUGCUCGUGGAGCUGAAAUCAGUCGAAGAUACCAGCUGGCUGCAACUGUUUAUUAAAAACACAGCACUGUGCAAACACGAAAGUGGACGUAUACGGUGUGACGCCUGCCCGGUGCCGGAAGGUUAAUUGAUGGGGUUAGCGGUAACGCGAAGCUCUUGAUCGAAGCCCCGGUAAACGGCGGCCGUAACUAUAACGGUCCUAAGGUAGCGAAAUUCCUUGUCGGGUAAGUUCCGACCUGCACGAAUGGCGUAAUGAUGGCCAGGCUGUCUCCACCCGAGACUCAGUGAAAUUGAACUCGCUGUGAAGAUGCAGUGUACCCGCGGCAAGACGGAAAGACCCCGUGAACCUUUACUAUAGCUUGACACUGAACAUUGAGCCUUGAUGUGUAGGAUAGGUGGGAGGCUUUGAAGUGUGGACGCCAGUCUGCAUGGAGCCGACCUUGAAAUACCACCCUUUAAUGUUUGAUGUUCUAACGUUGGCCCCUAAUCGGGGUUGCGGACAGUGUCUGGUGGGUAGUUUGACUGGGGCGGUCUCCUCCUAAAGAGUAACGGAGGAGCACGAAGGUUGGCUAAUCCUGGUCGGACAUCAGGAGGUUAGUGCAAUGGCAUAAGCCAGCUUGACUGCGAGCGUGACGGCGCGAGCAGGUGCGAAAGCAGGUCAUAGUGAUCCGGUGGUUCUGAAUGGAAGGGCCAUCGCUCAACGGAUAAAAGGUACUCCGGGGAUAACAGGCUGAUACCGCCCAAGAGUUCAUAUCGACGGCGGUGUUUGGCAC
rnacentral:rRNA from 1 species